GGCUCGGCAGCGGGCGUUGGGGCUGUUGUGAACGAUGAGGGAGCGUUCCCCGCGCCGCGGCGGCGCCGCGUCCCUCCCGCCCCUCGCGGCGGGGCGAGCCGCCCGGCCGGGAGCCUCUUACCCUCCUCCGACAUGGCUUGGUGGAGCGGCUGAGCGCGGGGUCCUCCUCGGGCGGCGGAGCGAGCGGGGCUCGACUACGGGCAGCUGUGGCCGGAAUGCGGCGUUGGAAACGGAAGCGGCUUCUCCGACAGAGAAGCCAUCCCCAAGAUGUCACCUGUUUUGUGGGUCCACAUUGCCAUCAUUCUUUCAUGGCCAGCCUCAGAGGUAUACAUCAUCUCGCAACCAAGAAGAACAUCUGAUUUGGCCUGGCAGGGACCCUUCAGCAGGACGGAAUUUGGGGGUCUCUUCUGCCUGAACUUGUCAUCAAAAAGUGCAGACGUGCAUGCCACCCUGAGAAAGAUGAAUGAAAUGAUCUCCAACAUCAAGCAUAAGUUAGAGGACUGGUUGAACAACAUCCUUCAAGGAUGGGGACUCAUGGGAUGGCUCUUUUCUGUUCUAAAAAUUGUCUUACAAGUUUUUUCAGUUAUUAUUGUUCUGGUUAUGUUUUGCAGUUUGAAAAAUUGUUGCUUAUCCUCAGUUAAACAGAUAACUUCUCCUGAAAUCAAUGUCACCAAAACUUCUACUUCCCAACUCUCCUCUCCCUGGUUUCACGACCUAUACCUUGAUUCUGAAUACCACCCUGAUCCCUUUUUCUGAAAAAGAAAGGGGAAGAUGUUGAGGAUUGAAUUAAUUUUAUUAAUGCAUUGUUAAACGGUUUGUUCUACUGUACCCCCAUUUUCUCCCCAAGCUGUUUCACCCUGGACUUGUACCCUCCCUCAAAGCUGUCCCUCAUGCCAUUCCCUACCCUUUGUUCCAGCUCUUUCUCUGCCUGUCAACACAGCCCCUUAUUCCUGAACCUUCCCUGCCACUCUCACCUUGGGCCAAUUUGUGACUCUAACAUUCCUUUGGAAUACCCUUAUUCCUUGAAGCCACAUUGUCCCAUGUGACCUGUCCUCGCCUCUCCUCUCCCCUACCGUGAUUGGUCCCAAACAAAUGAUGUAUUCCUCUUGCUCCUCUCCUGAAAUCUCCCCAUUGGACAACUGUUUGUAACCACCCCCGGAGUUGAAUCGGUUUAACCUGUGCACAAACGUGCUUGGGGCUCUUUCGUCCUAUACCCUUCAUCUGGAAUAAACUUUUGCCUGUGGAACCUCAA